GACAGAGGGUGCAAACGUUGUUCGGAAUUACUGGGCGUAAAGCGCGUGUAGGCGGUUCGGUAAGUCCGCUGUGAAAGUCGGGGGCUCAACCCUCGGAUGCCGGUGGAUACUGUCGGACUAGAGUGCGGAAGAGGCGAGUGGAAUUCCUGGUGUAGCGGUGAAAUGCGCAGAUAUCUGGAGGAACACCGGUGGCGAAGGCGACGCCUGGACCGGCAUUGACGCUGAGGCGCGAAAGCCAGGGGAGCAAAGCGGG
rnacentral:rRNA from 1 species